AGAUGUUUUUCUUUAACGUGACUUUUCUGAAAAGUGUUUUAAAAAACAUUCAAGUGUCUUAAAAUGUCAUGACAUCGCAAUUUUUAUACCCUAUGCCCAUUAUAAAUGGACAGUUAAGGGUAUAAAGUGUUUUUUUUUUAUUCACUAUAGUCAUUGUGAAAACAAUUGUAUUUAAUCACUUCACCUUUAAAUCAUGAUCGUAAUAUAAUGCGCAUUUUUGCAGUCAUUACAAAAAGUAUAGCUGAUUUUCCAAUUCAUUUCAAAUGCAGGAUGAAUUGACAUGUAAACUCGAUGCUAAACAUUUUUCUGAACAUCCAAGAAACGGAGAAGGCAGCUUGGAGCAAGAAUCGAUGAACUCAGCUUCUCACUUGGUGUUACCGAUGAUAAGUCGCGGUCAAACAAGACUUAAAUUUGAUUAAUAUUUAAAAUAUUCGGGGAAUCUUUUAAAUUUUAAUCAAAUGGCAUCUUGAGUUGAUCCCGAUUUAUUAACGGUGGCCUCAAGUAAAGAGCAUAGUUUGAAGAUUCUUUCUCGCAAAGAAUGCUAAAAAUGAAGAAACAACAAAACUAACCCGGUCAAUACUCCAUUCAAUAUAACCUCAGACGGAAGACGGAAGAGACCAACUCUUCAAACUGCAAGUUUAAAAAUGCUGCCAGAAUAUAAAUCUCCUUGAAGUCAUCUGCAUCCAGAAAAUCAAAAAGAAGAAUCCUCAGAAUGCAACCCGAAUGAAGAAUUUAAUUCCUUUUCCCUGAUCUUAUUAUCAUGAGAAUUAAAUCUGACUUAUUUAUGAUAUUUUGUGCAUAAAUCUUGAAGCAAUAAUAAUUAAAUGGACCUUCAAAAUUCA